GAAGGAGAACUGGUCAGCCCCACCAUCAGGUGAAAGUAAGCUGGACACACGCAUCCUUCACUGGCCCACUCCCACGUCUGGUGAAUCAGGACAGCCAGGACAGUCUGUGACUCCAGGCCGGCCUCCGUUCCUGCACCUGAGUGGCUCAGGAAGGAUCUGCGUGGCCUGUGAGGGUUUCAUGCCGUGUGUGGGCACACCCACACACGUCAGGCGGCAGCUGGUUCUGAUGCUCCAUUUGCCCCCAAUUCCCUACAUGCUGAUUCUAAUGUCACUGUCGGGUGAGAGGAGGGAGUGAAACCAUUGUAAAUGCACUACAUGAGACCGGCUCCCUGAGCUGUGAGGUGUAAGUUGCUGCUGUCUUUGUCCCCCAACAUUGUAAAAGUCACAACAUUUGGGUCAGGAGGAAGCAAAAUCAACAAAAAAGGAAGAAAGUGAUGAGCCAUACUUCAUGGAGGACCUCCUCCUACAGGGUCACACUGUGCUGCCCCUUGGCCCCAUUUUCCUUGUGCUCCAUCCCUGGGUGGAGAUAUUCCUCACUCCGCCACCUGUGGUCAGGCCUGGGCUGCAUGGGGUUCAAGGGGCCCAGGGCUGAGGUCUCUGUAGACGCUGGUCGUCCUCCCUGCCCUUCUGUGGAGGUCGACAUCCUGAGGCUGGAGAUACACUUUUCUAAAGGGCCCUUCUUAGGGUAGUUUCUCCUUCUGCUCUCCAGCCUCCCACUGGAAGCUUCCAACUUGGCUCUCUGCUUGUCCCUCAGCUUGUCUGCCAGACCUUGGCCUGUUCUGUUCACCUAAGGGAUCGAUAUCCAGCCAAGCAGUCAUUCGCCCCGUCAACAAAUAGGCAAUGAGCACCACUUUGGGCCAGGCCCUUUCUGGGGAGCUGGUGCCCCAGAGAUGAGCCAGCCAGGGGCCCUGCCUUCAAGCUGUGCAGGCUACUGGAGAGGCAGACAACAAAGCAGAGAUUUCAAAUCUAUUGUUAAAAUGGAAAGUGAUGAGGGUGAGGCUGAGGGGGACACAGGGUGUUCUGAGAAGCAGGGAAGACUCCCUAACACAGGCGGGGUCAGGGAAGGUGGCCAGGCGCAGUCGGAGGGGCAGUUUCCCGGAGCCUCUGGUUGAGUGUGGAUACCAGUACUGCCCCUUUCUACCUGUGUGACCUGAGCAAGUUACCUAACCUCUCUGUGCUUCAGUUUCUCAUCUGCAAAAUGGGAGUAAUGACUGAACCUACAUAGUCAGGUUGUCGUGAGAAUUAAGCAGCUUACUGUCCAUAUAGCGCCUGGGACAGGGCCUGGCAUAGGGGGUAAGUGCUGCACAUGCGUUAACUAUUAUUCACUCUGCUUAGUCCUAGAGGACGAGUAGGAGUGAAUCAGGCAAAGUGACAAGAGGAGGGAAGGCCAGGCAGAGAGGAGCAUGCGCAGACGCCAGGGUAGGUGAGAGGAUGGUGCUGCCUGUCAUCCAGGAUGGCUGAGGCAGGGAUGCUGCAGGGGCAGGUGAGGGGAGGGAGCAGAGAGCAGGGCACACUCUGUAGGACGCUGACACAGCUUACAGGGGUAAAGGGGGGCCCUCACACGGCCGCCCUCCAGAGCUCAUCAUUCACUAGAACAAAUACAAUCCUCUUUUUCAGUUCCUCAUGUCAAAUGCCAGGCGUUCACUCCCACGGCCCUUUCGCGAUGCCUGGUCUCUGCCUCCUAAUCCACGAAACCUCAGCUCCCUCACGCCCUCCUCACCUGCCUCGAGCCUCGGCUGAAGGAGGCUAUUUUUAUACUGACCGUCCUCAUGAUCUCUUCAAAUCACCAGAGAUAUGUGCUGGACUUCAGCAAAAAUACCUUAAAAAUGUGUAAGCUGUUAGUCUGAGAGCAAGUGAGAGAAAAGGAGCACGCCACAAGCGUAUUUUGAUCCGGUUUCCUACCCAGGCCUGGGAGGAAUAAAGGCAUCUGGCCCUGACCUCCCCCAGCACACAUCCAGCUUUCCGCAAAGAAGACAGUCCUGAUUUCCCCGGGGAGGGUGGCAGGCUUUUGUGGUGGGAGAUGUCCUCGGCUCAAAUGCCAGCAACGUUGACAAAUGCCUGGAGGGCAGGCUUGGGCUGUGGCUGCGACAGGAUGCUCUGUUCUCACUGUCACCCAGAACAUGAAUGAAUUUACUGGUUUUACCCACAUGGUACCCAUGGCUGGGAAGAGAGGUGGAAAAUUCAUCCAGCAAACCAGGAGUUGUCAAAUACCUGGAGGCCAGUGUCUAAUGGCUCAGGGACUCCAUGUUGUAUGCCCCCACUAGGGGAGAGGGUGUGUCCUGGAGAGGGCCUGGGGCUCCCCCAGAGGAGGGGGGGUUGAUUUCUGGAAAUAUCUAGGAUAAGUGAGGUAGAGAGGUGGAGUUUAAUUAGUGUGAUCUGUGUGUGUGUGAGAGAGAGAGAGAGACAGAGAGAGAGAGGCAGAGGGAGGGAGGGAAUGAGACUGUGUGAAUGAGAACUUAUCAAUAUGUGAGUGAGUGUGUGAGAGAGUGGGAGACAGAGAAUUUGGCCGUGUAGGUCUGUGAGUAAAAGAGGGUUGGGGCUUAUCUUUGGUGUGUAUGUUUGUGUCAGAGAAGGGGGGAGGGGAGAUGGAAGUGUGGUCCUUCUGAAUUUCAAAGAGGCGAUUUGGGAGUCUGAAGGUGUCCUCUCUGCCAAGUCUGGAGCAGACCCCAGGGGCUUCCAGUGACAGCUGCUGAGCUGCUCCCUCCUGCAUGUAAAGUGGCAGUGCCAGGCCCACUGGCGAGGCGCCUCAGCCCUCCUGCCACCUUGCGCUGUUGGGCCUCACUGAACACGGAGUUUGGCCUGUCACCGCCACCCCCAUCCCAGCAGGUGGCAGAGGCUUCGAGAAGAGCCACCCUGGACAGGCAGGUGACAGCUUGUCACGACCGGCUCUCCCACUCAGCCAAGAGAGCAGGAGAUGCUGACCUCUGAGGCAGAACAAAAGGGAGGCCAAAGUCAGGGGAGCAGAUGGACAGGCGCUUUCCUCCUGGGAAUUUUAAACUUUCCUCCCAGCUUUGCAAACAUUGCAUCAUCAGCGUUGCCUUCGGAUGCUCAGAAGUAAUUAUGGGGACGAUUAUUUAACUUGUCUUCAAUUAUGUGAAAGGAAAUCUGUUAAUUUAGAGGAUGAUGACCAGCCCCAUGUGUGGUGUUGCAGCAGGCAGGGUUUCCACUAGUGAGUAGGGUCCUCCUGCCAGGGAAGAGAAGUCUGGACCAGAAGUCCCAAAGCCAAGGCAUUCAUGUGACUACAGAGUACUGUAAGAGUUCCUGGCUCUUGCCAGAGCAGGCAUGAGGAAGGGCACAGAGGAGUGGUUGGCUGCGUUGGAUUGGAAGGAACAUGACAGAACAGGAAUUCUCACGGGGGUGAAGAACAAAUGAGGCCCAGGGAAAGAAUCUGCAUCCAGGUGGGCAAAGAGGGGCUGACACUGAGCUUGAAGAGACACUGUCCCCAGCACAGAGUUGCCCUAUGGCACCAGAUGGCUGCUUCCCCAGGGAUACUGGGGGCUCAGGUCUGCAUUCUGCAGGGACCAGGACUCCCCAGAGUUGCCACAGAGGGUCACUGUUGGGGCAUGGGCGGGGUGGGGAGAAGAGGAGAGGCGGGGGAGGCACCUCACCACAUCAGGGCUCUGAGCUCCCUAAACGACUUCAUACGCCGACCUUGAAUUGUUGUGUUGUCAAGAAAUUCUUGCAAAGUUUGAAAUCUACUGCCUCAGAAUAAUCAUGCCCUGACUUAGGUAUAAGACUCAUUAUAAAGAUUGUGUGUGUGUGUAAUUCAAUAAAGUAAGAGAAUAUAUCUGGCAGCGAAUUAAUUCUAACACCACCAUCUUCAGGGUCACCUGCUGAUAACCCACAACCACAGCAGGUAUGAGGCCAACAUGUGGAAAGUCUGUACAGGGGUGCUUUAGUCCCUUAGCCUCAGCCAGGAUACAACAAUAUGUUUGCAGCACCCACUCUGCCCAGCAUUCUGCUGGGGACAGGACAACAAUGAGACUCAGCCCCACUCUCAUAGAGCAAUGGAUGCCUCCAGUGCCACCUAGCCAGCUCACUGUCUUACCCCAGUGAGAUUAGAUAAGCACAGCUCAUAGCUUUGGUUCUAGAACUCCCCCAAUUGUGGAGUUUUCCAGGCCAAAGUCUGAGCAUAGGACUGAUUCUCCUUGCUAGUUACCAAUCCUAGAGAUGGCCAUAAGGGUAACACUUCUGUGUGUCUGGGCAUUGUUAUAGAACUUUUCUCUGCCAUCUUGCGUGAGACAAGUCUCAGUGGGGAUAUAACAUGAAUCUAGAUACUCAUGAACACUGAGUAUGGUGAUCAUGGACUUGUUCAUCAAAUAUUGGAAUCAUGCUGCAUGAGGAAUCCCCUUGAAGUGAUAGGUUUGUGACCAAGAGCAUCAUGCAAUGGCUCUGAAUGUCAUAAUGCCCACUCACUAAUAGGUUUAUAAUAUAUAAAACAUAUUGGGGUUGCUGUGAAGAUCUGACGUGAUAUAUAUAUCUAAACCACCCAGUAUACUAUCGUUGCCAUUAAAUAAGUAUUUUUUGAGAGUUAUAUGUUGGAUUGUGUCCUCCAAAAGACAUGUUCAAGUUCUAAUCUCCUGUACUAAUGAGUAUGACCUUAUUUGGAAAUUUGGUCUUUGAAGAUAUAACCAGAUAAGAGAAGGUCCUAGUGGAUUAGGGUGGGUCCUAAGUCCAAUGACUGAUGCCCAUGUAGGAAGGCCAUGUGAAGGCACAGAGACACAUAGGAGAGAAGAACAUAUGAAGACAGAGGCAGAGAUUGGAAAGAUGCACAGACAAGCCGAGGAUUGCCAACAACAGAUUCUUCCUAGAGCCUUAGGAGGAAGCAUGAGCCAGACAAAACAUUGAUUUUGGGUUUCUAGCCUCCAGAACUGUAAGAGAAUAAAUUCCCCUUGUUUAAAGUCACUCAGUUUGUGGUACUUUGGUAAAGUAGCCCUAGGAAACUAACACAUUGAGUGUACACAAUUUUAUCAGGCACUAGUUUAAAAAUACUGCUGUUAAAUUCCCAGGUGGCAGGUCCACCGUGGGCUGUAAUUAGGAGGCAGUGGGAUUUGGGAGUGAGAGAUUCCUCUAACAUUCAGAUUGAAGCCCAGCAGAUAAACCCAGGGCCCUCUGUAUUCCUCAGUGCUGUUGCUCAGACCCAGGCCAGCCUAGCCCUUGAAGGACUGUGCUGCCCAGCAAUGCAAGUGCUGUGCAGUGACAAUUACAAGGGCCAGCACCAUCACACUUUCACUGAUGAACUGAGGACCACAGGCAGAAGGCAGCUCUGAUGAGGAUGCUGGAGCCACCACCAAUACUCCUCUUCACUGGAGAGCCCUGACAUGCCUGAGGGAGAACCCACCCUUACACUUCCAGCUGAGUCCCAGACAGGGUAGACACUCCAGGUCUAGGUAGCUCCAUCUUAAUCGACAACACUGGCUGAAGGUAAUGUUAAUACCCCUCUUCUCGGUACCCCGGAAAGCCUAGCCUGGUGUUCUCAAGCUUUGCUGCCCAUUGGAAUCACCCUAGGAAGUUGUGGCUUUAUUAUUUUUUUAAUGCCAAUGGGCAUUCUACUUUAUUCAGAAUCUCUAGGAGUGGUGCCCAAGCAUUGGUAGGUUUAACAUGCUUUAGGUGAUUCUAAUAUGCAACCACUGGCCUGCAGCAGUGGUUCUUAAAUUUGAGUGUGCAUCAGAAUCUCCUGGAAGGCCUGUUAAAACACACAUCUCAGGGCCCUGACCCAGACUUUCAAAUUUACUAGUUCUGGGAUAGGAUUUGAGAAUUUACACUUCUAACAAAUUUCUAGGGUGGUUCCUACACUUUGAGAACCAUUGGUACAGAUCAACCCUGCAUAAGUCAUGGAUUGCAUGAGGUCUCAUUUUAAAUACCAGCUCUGGUCACUGUUAGUGGCUGGGUUGAGAAGGAUUCUGAGGGCUCAUCUAGGCUCAGCAAGGAAGAGUACCAUGACUGAUGAGCCAUGUCUGUGAUGGGUGAGGGAAUGGGUGGCCGUAUAUAUGGCCACCAUACUGCACUAAAUGUCAAAAGAUCUUAAAAUGAUGGGGCGACAAAAGGCAGCAAGAUAGCUUCACCAAAGUUUCCAUCAAGUAUAUCUGUGGCCUAAGGAAAAUGAAGGGCAAAUCGAGGUGAAGUUCACAUUGCAUAGAAAGUGUCUUUCUGCAGUGGAAGGUUGGACACUCCCCUUGGAGCAAUGACCAUCCUGACCGUGUGGUUGCCCAGCCUUGGCCGAGGCAUCUGCCGAGAGAGGGUCUCUGUGCAGCCCUUUGUAGACAGUUCAGGCACAGAUGGUCCUGCCCUCAGGCUGCAUCCAUGGGACAUGUCCUCCUCCUGUUUCCCAGUCACUGUCCCUGGCCUGAACCAAGAGGUCUAAUGUGGUUCUAAGUGUUAAAUUAGGAAGGUAUUUUUGAAUAAAUGUCUCUUUUUAAAAGCACUCUGAAAGUACACUGAGCCGUUUUCUCCAACCUCAUCAACAAAGUGAUUUUUUUCAGAUAAGACCUGUAUCAGCCAAGAAGGAAAAGAACUUUCUGCCUAAAAGGUUAUCUUUCUCUGAGUUACCAGCUUCUAACAGCCAGUGGAAAUGGCUUCAGGCUGCUAAAUUGCAACUGAGUCCAUAUAAUAAAGAGGCUGUUCCUAGUUCCCCAGGAUGCCAGGAAUUUGCAUGAAAACAGUCUCUCCAUCUUCUGAGAGAGUUCAUCUGGCCCUGCUGCUUCUUUCUUUCCAGAAGCCACAAUCUUGACGGUGACACUGUAAUUUAUUACCACGCUAAGGAUUAUGAUGCAACAUACAGAGAAUUAGAACUUUAGGUGGGAAACAGGCUGCAGGAACAGGUGAGCUUCUGGGGAGGAUGGUCUUAUUUGUCAUGCAAAUAGCACACGUAACAGAGAGAAGACAACCCGAAAAGACACACUGCGUUGUCUGCAGACAAAACUGUUUCUAAAUAGAAUGUUUUUCAAAGCUUUUCUUGAAGCAUUAGCUGCUCCUCCAAAAUGAAUGACACAAUGUAUUUCAUACGAGUAAUAAAAUAUGUGAUUUGAAUAACUACAAACGGCGAGAUUUACAGUCAGUAGGGUCCUUGCUGCCUCUCCCCUGAGCUUUGCGAGCGCUGAAACCCUUCUGCGAGAUGCUGCAAAAGAGCAUGGAGCCCCAAACUCUCCUCCAAGGAUGCCAUCCCACCUGUGCUGUCAUCACCCUGAGACUGUCCAAGUCCCAGUGAGCUUCGGGAUACAAAAGAUCGUAAAUAUCUAUACAAGUGUGCAGAGAUAUCUAUAGGAGAAUAUUCAUGGAAGCAUUGUUUGAAAUAAUACAACAUCAGAAGCCACCUAGACGGCCAUCCCAAAGGAGCUUGUUAAACGGUUUCUACAGUUCAUUCAUCCAAAGGAUGCCUGAGAAAGAGCCUGAGAAACCUCCAGGGGCAGCAGCAAAAGAUCUCCAAAGGUGCCUCAUAAAUGUGUGCUGGUUGGGAGAAGAGCUCGCAGAGGCAUUGCCUGGCCCACAUCCAGGUGGCUGGCCCACCUCCGUGAUGACAGGCACGAUGACAGGCACGUGAAGAGGAGGCCCAUACGCCAGGCUCAGAGUAGAGAGAUGUGCUUUCUGGGAAACGCCAUCUGAGCCUCGCUCCGGUCCCCAGCGCAUGAGCUGGCUCAGGCUCUGCGAUCCCAUCCUCAUCUCACUCACGCUAAUAAUACACUGGCCUUACUAAUAAUAAUUAUGCUGAGUCUUUUUCUAAAGGGCAUUUCAGUCGGGGCCUGAUAUCCCUAACUGAGCAUCUGGUGACAAAGUGACCCAGGGAGAGAUAUCGGAGGAAGGAGGAGGCAGACGUGCCUGAAGAAGAAUUAUCUGAGUGGCGGAGCAUGGGUAGAGUGGCAUUUGAAUUAUUCCUCCCUCAGCUUAAUUAAUGCUACUGGAGAAUUUCCAGGGGACCGGGACUCGGUUUUAUUCUGGCUGCAAUUAAAGGGUCUCCCCCUCUUUUCCUUGCUUGUCUUCAUUCCUCUUCACUUUCCCACCCACCCAAGAGAGAGCCUGUUACCCAAGCUCCAUGAUUGAAAGAAGAGCGAGGAAUCAUAAUUUGACAAUGGCCUCAUGAGGGAAGGCAUGGAUUAGAAAGGGAGGAGAAGUAUGAUUUAAAUGGACAAACCGCCAGGAACUGUGGGGAGAAGUAAAACUGGAUCUGGGGUCGCUGGCUGGAAAGCCAACAAACCUUUCUCCUUCUGAGGGACUAAGGUCCUCUGAGCCCAAACCUGGCAGGCAGAGGGCUCCAUCCGCUUAGCAGCAAAUUCUUGCAAAGUGCAGAUCGGGGUGCUUUUUCCUGAAGCCUUGCAAGAAGGAUUAUCUUUGAGAUAAUUUUCUGCUUUCUUUGCACCUUUUAAGUAUUAAGUACAUUACAAUAAAAAAAAUCUAAAACAGAGUCCUAUAGCAGCCAAACUCACUUCUCAGUGAUAAUGAAAGAAAAAAGCCUGGCCAUUACCCUGUACUGAUUCAGAAAGUUUGUGUGUGUGUGUGUCUGGUAGCCCCAGGUAUGUGUGCGUACUUCUCUGUGUGUCUCUGACUGUGCUUUUUAUGUGUGUCUACUGCACUAAAUACCUGUGUGUGCUUGCUGUGUGUGUGUUGCUGAUGGGAGCCACUCACCACAGGCUUUGGGAAAAGUUCACAGAGCCUCUUUGUCCUCACCACAGGGUCCCCUAACCAUAGUGUCACCCACGAGGGCUGUGCAUAGCAUUGCUGGCCCCGGUGGAACUGAAAGUCUGGGCAGCCCUCAGACCCCUGCUGUUUCAGGGAACAGUGAUUGCAGGUCUGCCACUCUUCUGGGAUGCGUCAAAGCAGAUGGAGUCCCGACUGUUCGCGGCACCCACUUCUCCCGCACAGGUCGGGCUCGGGGCCCGGCAUGGGGAAGGAGGAGCAUCCUUAAGGCUGAAGCUUUGAUCCCUUGAUCUUUCCUCUGUGGAUCUCCUCUUUGAAAGACUCUCAAGCAGGUUCCCUGGAGAGAAAAAGACUCUCCCUCCCAGACGUGGGUGACCCGCUCAGGCGCCCUGAUCUACCUUCUUAGCUUGAGCGCCUGUUUACUUAUAAGAGAUGGGGGAUAAACAAAUGCAACGCCAGAAACCCUCUUGGAGUUCAACCCCAGUUUACCCCGCAGCUGGCUCACUGGUAACCGUGACAAUGAAAGUGACUGAGGCGUUAAUGUCUAUGCUUUUGCUGCUAUGGCACAGAAUCUCAAGCCUGAGGGUGAUCAUCGAUCUGUCCCUAACUCCUUAAUACCAAUCGCAGGAUUUCCAGGGCUGAUUUAAUCAGCUUUUGCUUUUGUUCUUUUGGGUUUUUUCCCAAAAGAGCUGAUGGAUGGGGAAGGGAUUCAGACUCUGGGAAAUGGGUUAUGAGGGGCAAAGUGGCAGGAUCAGAAGGAGGGUCCCAGGACCUGGAUGCAGAUGCUAGUUUGGGGCUCUGUGGUGGGGACAGCAGCUGGCAGUGUCCCUCCUCCUGAGACAGAGGGAAAAUGGGCCGGAGGCACAGGGGCUCCGGACCUCGCAAAGACCUGGUGUGCAGGAGUGGCCCCCGGACCUUCUCACUCCCCUGGGCUUACGGAGGGAGGAGGAGUUCUAGUGAGACUGAAAAUACUUUUUCUUUUCCAGCCUGACAGAUGGGGACUCUGUGUCAGACUAACUUUGAUUUUUGAAAAAUAAGGUAAUUGAUACUUCUCCCAAUGCCAGUUUGGGCAGUAAAUUUACACUCCCUAAAAUAGUUUCAAUGCAGUGGUUCUCCAAGUGUGGUCCCAGACCAACGUCAUCAGCAUUAUCUGGGUACUUGUGUGAAAUGCACAUUCCUGGGCCCACCUCAGCCAUACAGAUCAGGAACUCUGUGCUUUAACAAGCCCUCCCAGGGGGUCUGGCACACAGUGGAGUGUGAGAACCAUGGUUUCAAUGGACACAAUAAUCUUAGUUGCCUUUCCCCUGCUCUCUCCUGAGACGUUUUCUUCAAAAUUCUUCCAUGGUGAUCCUGUCAAAAAUACCCUCAAUUUUCCUUUGUGACUAUCAGCUUUGCCUGGGCUUCUGGAGGCUCUCUGCUCUAUUGUUUUCUGCUUUGGAGUGACUAGGAAUAGGGAAAGUUAUAAGAUCCUUUUUGCCAGUUAGCCUUGAAAAUGUACCCCUGAGCGUGUCUUGUGCUGGGCUGUGGGCUCUGAGAGGUGGGUGAGCACUUGUGCAGCAUCCACAGCCAUCACAUAAGCUGUGACCGGAGCAGGACUUGGACUGGGGGUUGCUUCUAGUUUAUCACAUGGGGUCUUACAAAUUCCCACAAAUCCCAUUUCAUGGAUGAGGAGACUUCAGGUCAAAUCUAUAGAGCAUAGUUUGAAUCCGAGUCCUGUAUUCUUCCCACCACGUCAAAGAACUAUUUUGCCACACCAGAUGGGGAGAGAAUUCUAGAGAGGGUCUUUUCUCCACCUUCCCAGGUGGGAAGACAGGGCUCAAAUGGGCAGCAUCGUAUCAUGGAAUGAAGGUCAAUUUUUUUUGUGAAAGGAAAGGCGCUCCAGAUAUCAGCGUGGAAUCGAUCGUGGCUAGAAUUCUUGCUCUCUCCUGGAAACACGGUGAGGAUGGAGGCCACAGCUGGGACAACAAUUCAGAGGAAUAAUGGGGGAGGAUGGGACUAGGGUCAUGCAUCCAUGGUGACCUGGGAUGGCUGAAAUUCAUCACAGGGGAGUAAGGGCCUCUGCAGAGCCUGUGAGGGGCAGGCCUGACGCCCCCAGCAGGAUGAGCCAUGGGGUCAGGUACCCACAGAGAUUGCCCUCGGGGAGAGGCUGUCCCUAGUCCCACAGGGAGGAUGGACCCUCCAUGCCCAGGGUCCCAGAGCAGUGCAGGAAAUGAGUCUGACGUAGAUGGGGAGGAUUCUAGAGGAAGUGGAACAGCUGAGCCGUCCCCGAGCCGGUCCAGGCAGUCCGUGUGGGAAAUGAGGGGCAGAAGAGGCAGCGCAGCAUGUGAGGAAGAACUGGCACGGGAAUGAAGAUCAAGAAAGGACAAGGGCACAGCUGGCAAAUCGCCUGAGAAGAUGGUUCCUGCCUCCCACCAGGAGGGGCCGAUGCCCCGGAAACAGCUCUGUUUGAAGUUCACAGAGGGGGACAGAGCAGGGCAGAGAACGUCAGCAGACCUUAGAAGAGAGACAGCAAGGAGGAGGAGGAACUGAUGGGCUGGGAAGGAGGUGAGUCUCAGAAGCCCAGAAAGCCAGGGUGUGGGAGGAGCUGGGGCCUGAGACAAGAGGACACCACCGCAGGAGGAGCAAAGGAGAAGGGGCUGAGGGAGAUCAGAGGCACCUUGAAGACGGAGUGCAGUUCAUUUAAAACAGGGAGGCCUGCAGAGAGCGGGGCUGCGGGAAGGCAGAGCAAGGCCAGAGACUUCUUAGAGAGACAGCCUGGGGCUCUGGAGGAUGGGAACGUUGACACUACUUUAGCAGAAGGAACGUGGCUGAAUACUAAGAAGGGAAGAUUUUGCUCACAAAGGGACUGGAUGUGGCCUUUUCUUACUGAUCAGAAGAGCAAGCAAUCCACGCUGGAGUAGAGCUUUUGACUUAACCAGCAGAAAGCUGCCAUCCAGAGAUUUAUGGAAUUCUACUGGGGCUCUGUCCACCCGUGGGAGCGGCUAUGGGUGGCAGACCAGAUUUGUGAAUGUGUGUUUGAGCCCAUGAUGCAAAGACUUAAUCAAACACAUGGCACCUUUCCUGGUAUGUGUGUGCCUCUUUUUUCUCUUGGUAACAGGAGACAGGACCAGUAAUUACCAGAAUGUGACCUGUGAAGUCAGACAUUGAGACCUAGUCUAUGACACAAGCAUGGUGUUACGGACUGAAUGCUCUGGUCCUCCUGAAAUGUACAUGUUGAAGCCCUAACCCCCAGUGUGAUAGUAUCCGGAGGCGGGGCCUUUGGGAGGUGAUUAGGUUGAGAUGAGGUCAUGAUGGUGGGACCCGCAUGAUGGGACUGGUGUCCUCAUAGUUUGAGGAAGAGAGACCAGAGCCCUCUCUCUCUCUACUAUGCACGGAUGCGGGAGAAGGCGGCCACCUGCAAACCAGUAAGAGGGCUCUUACCAGGAACUAAGUCUGCCAGCACCUUGACUUGGAGUUUGAGCCUCCGGAACUGCGGGAAAUAAACGUCUGUUGUUAAGCCACGCAGUCUCCGGUAUUUGUCACAGCUGCCUGAACAAACUAAGGCACAUGGGACUGUUGAUUUGAACACCCACAACAGUAUUCAGAAAUAUACCUGCCAAAAAGAGCACUGUGUAAAUGGUACAGGUGUUAGAGCCCAGCCCAGCUCAUUUAUCUCAUAAAGGAUGGAACAGUGGGAGCAAUUCAGAACUCCUCCCUCCUCCCUACUUUAGUGGGUUUAUUCCAAUCAUAAGAAAGCACAAAAGAACAAAUUCUAUCUGUUCAUUAUUCUGGGAGCCUGGUGGGAAGGAAAUGCUCCUGGGGCUAGAAAUAGCAAUUUAAAAUAGAGAAAGAAGACCUGCAGAAAAGUAUGGUGGUGAAUUAAGACAGAAUGAGAGAUGAAGGCUGAGAGCCUGGUAGGAAAACCUAGAGAACUUUAAUAGCUCUUAAUGAGGUCUUCACUAACAGAGUAAAACAAGAUGCAUUAGAAGAUGAUGAUGUUAAAGAGAUCCUGAAAGAACUGCAUGGAAUAGGGGAAUGAAGAUGGAGUAGAGUGUCUUAAGGACUGUGUUAGGGAAUUGCUGAUCACGGGUAAUAAGUGGAGGGUUCCACUUCUGGUGGGAGACAUAUGCUGCUAACAGACGGACUCUUCAGCAAAUAACAACAAAUACAAGAGAAGAGGAAAGGACAGAAAAUAAGAAAAAAGAAAAGAAAGGAAAAGCAACCUGAAGUUUUCACCGACUGAACAGCGCGGAGGUGAACUUUACUUCCUGCAGUUUUGUCCUGAGGGCAGUCAGCUCUCGUGGCUAAAACUCCCACUGAAAAACCCACCCUCUGUCUGGCUGGAGGAACCAAGGGAAGAUAAUCAGGGCUGCUGCAGAGUUGGGGAGGAUCUCUGGAAAUGAGAACCAGGGAAAAGGAAUCCCAACUUCUGGGUUUUCCCAAUUCUCUGGCUGACCCUUGAACCAUGCAUGUAUGAGACGGACUGAAAACCACAAGCACUGAAAUCUGAACUGUUGCCUACUGCACACAUGACCGAGUUUGCAGGUUGAGUGUAACAAGUUAAUUCACUGCUAAACCGAAAACAUCAACACUCUUUGGAUCAAUGUAACAGAAUUCAGAGUCUCUACAUCAUAACAGUCACAAUGUAUAUAAUCCAAAACUACUAGACACACAAAGAGCUAGAGAAAUGUAACCCGUUUUCACCAGAAAAAAAAGAUGCCAACCCCAAGACGACCCAGACUUUAAAGCUGCUAUUGCAGCUAUGCUCAAUAAAGUAAAGAAAAAUAUGCUUAGAAUGAAUAAAAAAAUAAGACAUUUCGGCUGAGAAUUAGAAAGUAUAAAA